UGGAAUGUAAAGAGAGCACACAAG
rnacentral:miRNA from 1 species